rnacentral:rRNA from 1 species
UGGGGAAUAUUGGACAAUGGGGGCAACCCUGAUCCAGCAAUGCCGCGUGUGUGAAGAAGGCCUUCGGGUUGUAAAGCACUUUCAAUAGGGAGGAAAGGUUGUAAGUUAACACCUUGCAACUGUGACGUUACCUAUAGAAGAAGCACCGGCUAACUCCGUGCCAGCAGCCGCGGUAAUACGGAGGGUGCAAGCGUUAAUCGGAAUUACUGGGCGUAAAGCGCGCGUAGGCGGUUAUUUAAGUCAGAUGUGAAAUCCCCGGGCUCAACCUGGGAAUUGCAUUUGAUACUGGAUGGCUAGAGUGUGGUAGAGGUGAGUGGAAUUUCAGGUGUAGCGGUGAAAUGCGUAGAGAUCUGAAGGAACAUCAGUGGCGAAGGCGACUCACUGGGCCAUUACUGACGCUGAGGUGCGAAAGCGUGGGUAGCAAACAGGAUUAGAUACCCU